rnacentral:rRNA from 1 species
UACGUAGGGGGCGAGCGUUGUCCGGAAUCAUUGGGCGUAAAGAGCUCUUAGGCGGCUCAGUAAGUCGGCUGUGAAAGCCCGGGGCUCAACCCCGGAACUGCAGUCGAUACUGCUGUGGCUAGAGUCCGGUAGAGGAGAGUGGAAUUCCCGGUGUAGCGGUGGAAUGCGCAGAUAUCGGGAGGAACACCAGUAGCGAAGGCGGCUCUCUGGGCCGGUAAUGACGCUGAGGAGCGAAAGCGUGGGGAGCAAACAGG